CCAUUUUAGAGGAGAGAACGAAUGGGUCGUGCCACCACAUGUCCUUGUGCGCUGCAAACAUAAUUUCCAAGUGCCAACCCUCCACCCCCCAACCCCUCUGACAGUUUCUCCACCAGGGUGACCAGGGUGAGGGAAGAGCUCCUCAUAUCCCACGAGCCAACAUGGAUGCAGUGAAAGAUAAGUGUGCUAGCCAAGAUUCUGGAGGUUGCUGCUGGUUGGUGAGGAGGAGAGGUGCUGCCUGGCGCUGUAGUGGUGCACUGCUGGGGAUAAUCUGGACUGCUGAGAGACAAGAGAUAUUGGGCCAAAAAUCUGCUCAGCAUUUCCUAUGCCUGCCAGUGUCCCCUCAGCUUCAGGCAUGGGAGGUGGCAGAGGCAGCAUCCAAACCUGCCAACCCGUGUCACAUACAGGCUGUGGUGGAGUGUGACAGCGGCCCCAGCAACCCCAACACUCCCAGCAGCCCCAGCUACCAUGGCACUGAAGAUGUUUUCCAGGCUUCUUAUUCUGGAAAAAAAAACCUGUGUGGGGCAAACACCUUCUUUUGCAGAAAUUUGGCAUGACCGUCUCCUUCGCUGCUGGCCUGUUCUUCCACCCAUCUCCCCACAAAGAGGUUAAUAAAUGUUUACUUUUAUUCCUGUUUCCAUAUGGUUUGUUCACAGGCUUUUGCUUGUGUGUGUAUGAAUGCUCACUUGCAUUGACUGCUGUGAGGGAAUUGUUCUACUAAUGCUGGCCAUCUUCAAAUCAAUGCCUGCACAUAACAACAGAAAGUGCCUCAGAUGUAGUGGUUUCCACAGGACUAUUGUUAGGCCUUUGUUAAGCAUUUUUGAACCUAAUAAAUAAUGUCAAAAGUC